AACGCGAAAGCCCCGCAAGGGGUAAGUAGAGUGGCAAACGGGUGAGUAACACGUGGGUGACCUGCCUUCGAGUGGGGGAUAACGUCCCGAAAGGGACGCUAAUACCGCAUGACAUCCUGCUCUUGGACGAGCGGAGAUCAAAGCUGGGGAUCGCAAGACCUGGCGCUUGAAGAGGGGCCCGCGCCUGAUUAGCUAGUUGGUGAGGUAACGGCUCACCAAGGCGACGAUCAGUAUCCGGCCUGAGAGGGCGGACGGACACACUGGGACUGAGACACGGCCCAGACUCCUACGGGAGGCAGCAGUGGGGAAUUGUUCGCAAUGGGCGCAAGCCUGACGACGCAACGCCGCGUGGAGGAUGAAGAUCUUCGGGUCGUAAACUCCUGUCGAGCGGGAAGAACGUUUCGCGGAUGAAUAAGCCGCGGAAGUGACGGUACCGCUAAAGGAAGCCCCGGCUAACUCCGUGCCAGCAGCCGCGGUAAUACGGGGGGGGCAAGCGUUGUUCGGAAUUACUGGGCGUAAAGGGCUCGUAGGUGGCCAACUAAGUCAGACGUGAAAUCCCCAGGCUUAACCUGGGAACUGCGUCUGAUACUGGAUGGCUUGAAUUCGGGAGAGGGAUGCAGAAUUCCAGGUGUAGCGGUGAAAUGCGUAGAUAUCUGGAG
rnacentral:rRNA from 1 species